GGCUUCUUAGUUCAGCUGGUAGGACGCUUGCCGCCAGUGGACAUGUUUCUGUCGCUGUUUCGAAUGUAGUAGAAGCCC
rnacentral:tRNA from 1 species